rnacentral:lncRNA from 1 species
UUAAUUGAUAGAAAAAUCAAGAAGAAACGGGACUGAACAUUUUGAAAACCUGAAGAAUUGAGAGCUGAAAAUCAAAAAAAAAAUUGCUUAUACAAAUUUUUUCAGAUAUCACUGUUUGAUUGAAUGGUUUUCUCAGUUUUCCUGAAUUUCUUUAGCUGUUAAAACACCAUUCUAAUUCAUCUGGGGUAUAAAUGGAUUAGACUUGGAUUUUAAGAAGUUUGAUUUUGGUUAUUGUUCGAUUGAAGCUGGUUAGGACUGUUGAAUCUUAUUUUCCUAUUUAAAAGCUGAAGCUGGCAUCAUAUUUUGGGUUGUUUUGAUGUUGCUUACUGUUGGUCUGCUCAUAUCUCCUUUUUUUGUCUUCCAGGUAUUUGUCAAUUCCGUGGACACCACUUAAAUGUAGUUUGAAGCUUGAAUCUCAAAUAUGAACAAACUGGAUAAUGGUUGCUGUUGAAUUCUCACUUUUGUCUUUUUCAAUUUAUCGCAUAAUGUGUAUUAUUUAGUUUGGAAGUAGCUUUGUCGAGUGUGUUUGUAGUUUGAAUAGAACAUGAUUAUGUUUGUAAUCAUCCUAUUGUUAUGUGUACCUGCUGAGUUCUUUACUUAUGAUAUAUGUAUCUUGGGACGUUUGUUUGGACUGUGAGCCUAUUGAGAUUUGCCUUGUUUUUUGCACUGGUUAUGAAGCAAAUCUGUACAGUUUUGAGUAUAAAACCCUGUGUUGUUG